GGGCCUCUCUUCAUCCAAGUACGAGGAGAGCACGAUAGGCCUUUCCUCAUCCAAGCUUAAGGAGAGUGUCAUGGAUCUCUCCUCAUUAGAGUAUGAGGAGAGUGCAACUGAUCUCUCCUUAUCCGAGUGCAAGAAGAGUGCAAUCCAACCUUGGCCGAUUGGAGGAGAUAACACAAAAGGGAUCCUAAAGCUCCUUGCACAAAAUGCAAACACUCUUUAUCUAAGCACGAGUUGAGUGAAGCCGACUUUUAGCCAGAGAGAGGGAAAAAUAUGGA
rnacentral:lncRNA from 1 species